rnacentral:tRNA from 1 species
GGGGGAGUAGCUCAGAGGGAGAGCGCCUCGCUCGCAUCGAGGAAGCCGUGGGUUCGAAUCCCAUCUCCUCCA